UACGUAGGACCCAAGCGUUAUCCGGAGUGACUGGGCGUAAAGAGUUGCGUAGGCGGUAUGUUAAGCAGAUAGUGAAACCAUGUGGCUCAACCAUUAUGACUAUUAUCUGAACUGGCAUACUCGAGAAUGGUAGAGGUAGCUGGAAUUCCCUGUGUAGGAGUGAAAUCCGUAGAUAUAGGGAGGAACACCAAUGGCGUAGGCAGGCUACUGGACCAUUUCUGACGCUAAGGCACGAAAGCGUGGGGAGCGAACCGG
rnacentral:rRNA from 1 species